rnacentral:rRNA from 1 species
CCUACGGGAGGCAGCAGUAGGGAAUAUUGCUCAAUGGGGGCAACCCUGAAGCAGCAACGCCGCGUGGAGGAUGAAGGUUUUCGGAUUGUAAACCUCUGUUGAGGGGGACGAUAAUGACGGUACCCCUUUAGGAAGCCACGGCUAACUACGUGCCACCAGCCGCGGUAAUACGCAGGUGGCGAGCGUUGUCCGGAAUUACUGUGUGUAAAGGGAGUGUAGGCGGGAAAGCAAGUCAGAAGUGAAAACUAUGGGCUUAACCCCUAGACUGCUUUUGAAACUGUUUUUCUUGAGUUAAGUAGAGGCCAGCGGAAUUCCUAGUGUAGCGGUGAAAUGCGUAGAUAUUAGGAGGAACACCAGUGGCGAAGGCGGAUUAC